UCUACGGGAGGCAGCAGUGGGGAAUAUUGGACAAUGGGCGAAAGCCUGAUCCAGCCAUGCCGCGUGUGUGAAGAAGGCCUUCGGGUUGUAAAGCACUUUCAGUGGGGAAGAAAGCCUUGGGGCUAAUACCCUCGAGGAAGGACAUCACCCACAGAAGAAGCACCGGCUAACUCCGUGCCAGCAGCCGCGGUAAUACGGAGGGUGCGAGCGUUAAUCGGAAUUACUGGGCGUAAAGCGCGCGUAGGCGGUCUGAUAAGCCGGUUGUGAAAGCCCCGGGCUCAACCUGGGAACGGCAUCCGGAACUGUCAGGCUAGAGUGCAGGAGAGGAAGGUAGAAUUCCCGGUGUAGCGGUGAAAUGCGUAGAGAUCGGGAGGAAUACCAGUGGCGAAGGCGGCCUUCUGGACUGACACUGACGCUGAGGUGCGAAAGCGUGGGUAGCAAACAGGAUUAGAUACCCGAGUAGUC
rnacentral:rRNA from 1 species